rnacentral:rRNA from 1 species
AUUGAACGCUGGCGGCAGGCCUAACACAUGCAAGUCGAACGAGUGGCGGACGGGUGAGUAAUGUCUGGGACACUGCCCGAUGGAGGGGGAUAACUACUGGAAACGGUAGCUAAUACCGCAUACCAUCGGAUGUGCCCAGAUGGGAUUAGCUAGUAGGUGGGGUAACGGCUCACCUAGGCGACGAUCCCUAGCUGGUCUGAGAGGAUGACCAGCCACAUGGGAACUGAGAAAAGGUCCAGAUGCCUGCGGGAGGAAGCAGUGGGGAAUAUUGCACAAUGGGAGCAAGCCUGAUGCAGCCAUGCCGCGUGUGCGAUGAAGGCCGUCGGGUUGUAAAGCACUUUUGGCAGGAAAGCGGUACCUGCAGAAUAAGCACCGGCUAACUACGUGCCAGCAGCCGCGGUAAUUC